rnacentral:rRNA from 1 species
AGAGUUUGAUCCUGGCUCAGAACGAACGCUGGCGGCGUGCUUAACACAUGCAAGUCGCGUGCGCAGUUCCGUAGCAAUACGGGAUGGGCGCACGGCGCACGGGUGCGUAACACGUGGGCAAUCUGCCCUCUGAUGGGGAAUAACCCGCCGAAAGGCGGGCUAAUUCCGCAUAAGAUUCCCGGGACUUCGGUUCUGGGAUUGAAAGCAGUAAUGCGUCGGAGGAGGAGCCCGCGCCCGAUUAGCUAGUUGGUGAGGUAACGGCUCACCAAGGCAAUGAUCGGUAGCUGGUCUGAGAGGAUGAUCAGCCACACUGGAACUGAGACACGGUCCAGACUCCUACGGGAGGCAGCAGUGGGGAAUCUUGCACAAUGGGCGAAAGCCUGAUGCAGCGACGCCGCGUGGGGGAUGAAGCAUUUCGGUGUGUAAACCCCUUUCGACUGGGAAGAAUGCCUCGCAAGAGGAGUGACGGUACCAGUAGAAGAAGCCCCGGCUAACCACGUGCCAGCAGCCGCGGUAAGACGUAGGGGGCCAGCGUUGUUCGGAAUUACUGGGUGUAAAGGGUUCGUAGGCGAUGCGGCAAGUUGGGAGUGAAAUCUCUGGGCUUAACCCAGAGGCUGCUUCCAAAACUGCUGUGCUCGAGUGUGAGAGAGGCUCGUGGAAUUGCAGGUGUAGCGGUGAAAUGCGUAGAUAUCUGCAGGAACACCCGUGGCGAAAGCGGCGAGCUGGAUCACUACUGACGCUGAGGAACGAAAGCUAGGGGAGCAAACAGGAUUAGAUACCCUGGUAGUCCUAGCCCUAAACGAUCAGGACUUGGGGUGCCGCCCGUUCGGGCGUCGUCCCGGAGCUAACGCGUUAAGUCCUGCACCUGGGGAGUACGGUCGCAAGACUGAAACUCAAAGGAAUUGACGGGGGCCCGCACAAGCGGUGGAACAUGUGGUUCAAUUCGACGCUACGCGAGGAACCUUACCUGGGCUCGAAAUGCUAGUGA